AUACGGAGGGGGUUAGCGUUGUUCGGAAUUACUGGGCGUAAAGCGCACGUAGGCGGACUGGAAAGUUGGGGGUGAAAUCCCGGGGCUCAACCCCGGAACUGCCUCCAAAACUUCCAAUCUAGAGAUCGAGAGAGGUGAGUGGAAUUCCAAGUGUAGAGGUGAAAUUCGUAGAUAUUUGGAGGAACACCAGUGGCGAAGGCGGCUCACGGGCUCGAUACUGACGCUGAGGUGCGAAAGCGUGGUGAGCAAACAGGAUUAGAAACCCUAGUAGUCC
rnacentral:rRNA from 1 species